rnacentral:tRNA from 1 species
GUAGGAAAUAGCUAAGUAAGCGAUAGCUCUAUAAGCUAAUUAUUAAUGUAGAUUAUUUUUUGUA